CUUAUUGGAGAGUUUGAUCCUGGCUCAGGACGAACGCUGGCGGCGUGCUAAACACAUGCAAGUCGAGCGGUAAGGCCCUUCGGGGUACACGAGCGGCGAACGGGUGAGUAACACGUGGGUAACCUGCCCUGUACUCCGGGAUAAGCCUGGGAAACURGGUCUAAUACCGGUUACGACGUUCCAUCGCAUGGUGUGGGGUGGAAAGUUCCGGCGGUAUGGGAUGGACCCGGGCCUAUCAGCUUGUUGGUGGGGUGAUGGCCUACCAAGGCGACGACGGGUAGCCGGCCUGAGAGGGUGACCGGCCACACUGGGACUGAGACACGGCCCAGACUCCUACGGGAGGCAGCAGUGGGGAAUUAUUGCACAAUGGGCGAAAGCCUAAUGCAGCGACGCCGCGUGAGGGAUGACGGCCUUCGGGUUGUAAACCUCUUUCAGCAGGGACGAAGCGYGAGUGACGGUACCUGCAGAAGAAGCACCGGCUAACUACGUGCCAGCAGCCGCGGUAAUACGUAGGGUGCSAGCGUUGUCCGGAAUUAUUGGGCGUUAAGAGCUCGUAGGCGGUUUGUUGCGUCGGCCGUGAAAACUUCACGCUUAACGUGGAGCCUGCGGUCGAUACGGGCAGACUUGAGUUCGGCAGGGGAGACUGGAAUUCCUGGUGUUAGCGGUGAAAUCGCCAGAUAUCAGGAGGAACACCGGUGGCGAAGGCGGGUCUCUGGGCCGAUACUGACGCUGAGGAGCGAAAGCGUGGGGAGCGAACAGGAUUAGAUACCCUGGUAGUCCACGCCGUAAACGGUGGGUGCUAGGUGUGGGGGGCUUCCACGUCCUCCGUGCCGCAGCUAACGCAUUAAGCACCCCGCCUGGGGAGUACGGCCGCAAGGCUAAAAACUCAAAGGAAUUGACGGGGGCCCGCACAAGCGGCGGAGCAUGUGGAUUAAUUCGAUGCAACGCGAAGAACCUUACCUGGGCUUGACAUGCACCGGAAACCUCCAGAGAUGGGGGCCUCCUUGGACUGGUGUACAGGUGGUGCAUGGGCUGUCGUCAGCUCGUGUCGUGAGAUGUUGGGUUAAGUCCCGCAAACGAGCGCAACCCUCGUUCCAUGUUGCCAGCGCGUAAUGGCGGGGACUCAUGGGAGACUGCCGGGGUCAACUCGGAGGAAGGUGGGGAUGACGUCAAGUCAUCAUGCCCCUUAUGUCCAGGGCUUCACACAUGCUACAAUGGCCGGUACAGAGGGCUGCUAAGCCGUGAGGUGGAGCGAAUCCCAGAAAGCCGGUCUCAGUUCGGAUCGGGGUCUGCAACUCGACCCCGUGAAGUCGGAGUCGCUAGUAAUCGCAGAUCAGCAACGCUGCGGUGAAUACGUUCCCGGGCCUUGUACACACCGCCCGUCAAGUCACGAAAGUCGGUAACACCCGAAGCCCGUGGCCCAACCCGUAAGGGCGGGAGCGGUCGAAGGUGGGACUGGCGACA
rnacentral:rRNA from 1 species